rnacentral:rRNA from 1 species
GACGGAGGAUGCAAGUGUUAUCCGGAAUCACUGGGCGUAAAGCGUCUGUAGGUUGUUUAAAAAGUCUGCAGUUAAAGGUUGAAGCUUAACUUCAAAAAUGCCGUAGAAACUUUUAAACUAGAGGAUGGUAGGGGUAGAGGGAAUUUCCAGUGGAGCGGUGAAAUGCGUAGAGAUCGGAAAGAACACCAACGGCGAAAGCACUCUGCUGGGCCGACACUGACACUGAGAGACGAAAGCUAGGGGAGCAAAUGGG